rnacentral:lncRNA from 1 species
AACAAGGAGGUGCGUGGGGGAGGAGGAGGAGGAGGAGGAGGAAGAGGGUCAACUCAGGGCUCUGCAUUUUGCUGCAAGGGGUCAGCUCCUGUCAGCAGACACAGAAAGGGAGCCAGCGUGCAAACUGAAUGCCUGUGAAAUUUGGGAUGCACAGGACAGACCCCUCAGGAGGAAGCCUGUGGCUCUCGCUUGAGUCAAUAGAAGUGCCAGCCUUGUACCUGCACCCAAAUGUGUGGAAGAAGGGCCCAGGCCAAUAUGUGGAAGGGCAGGCGGUGGUGGGCCGGGAGAGGAAAGGUCUUGUCCAUGUGCCAGAGACCAUGAGUUGCUGAGAGUGAUCAAGAACCAUCCUUUUUAUCUGCCUCUUUCCAGGGAAGGCCAUAGGUGAACAGAGUGAUGGAUGAAAAAGUGAAACCGGCAGGAACAUAAAGCAAUACUGCCUACUACGACUUACUACCAGAGCAUGGCAAUGAAAUCAGGAAGUGGGAGGGUCGGGAACUCACAGGAACAGCAGAGGAGCAGGAUCACGACAGCCUCGAUCUGCUGCUCGGAGAGGAGAUGGGGGCUGAUCUCUACAGACUCUGGCAAUGGAGCUACCAUGUUUUCAGCCAGGAAGUCAGAACACCAUGGACAGCUGCUGAUGGGAAAAGGGCUUCCAUAUGGAAUACACAUGGCAGGAGAAAGGAGACAAGGUGGAGUCAGCUGGCAAGGUAAGCCCUGCCCUGCCCGCCCUCAUGGUGCUGGUUUGGCCCAUGGGUGGCAGAACCAAGACGCUGUUGGGUGAAGUAUAACACAGCAGGAGAACAGAGCAGGCCAAGGGGUAAAGGGCCCCUUUUUCAGAUGCAAUCCUAACCGCACUUUUGCCCACUCGGGUGAAAGGCACUGGUUCUCACUUUGAAUUCUGGGGAUCAUUUGUCGUUUUGCAAAUGUGCAUCUCAAUUACUGCAAAGCGGUGUCCUCUUUUCAUUCUCCUUUUUAAGGGGAGCACAAGUGGCCAUCCUAGAAUGAUGGUUGGCUUCACAAGGUUGGUGUACCUGUACCGGCAGCGAGGGGGGGGGGAGAGGGAGGGCUUUUUCCCCCACUUCCCUUGGCAGAAUUAGCUCCAGCCCUGAGAGAUAGUUUGGGUUGUGGGGAAGGAACACUUGGGUGGAGGGUUGUGGGGCUUUCUCUUCUUUGCAAGGCAAAUAAGCCCCAGCCCCCUCCCAAUGAAGCUCUCCUGGGGCAAUUCAGAGAGUAUCAGAGCAACACAGACUGUGUUGCACUGCCCCCCCGCCCCCCUCCAGCCAGCUCUCUCUCUUUUUUGGCAGCGUUUGCCACAUCCAGUCUGUUUAGCAUCAGCUUAGCCCCAUCGCGGCAGGCUGGGACCUCCGCAUUCGAGGCUAUUUUUGCAUUCAGUUCAGUUUUUAUCAUUUUAAGGUUCACGCGUUUCUAAUUGUUAUGAAUACCAUGGUAAAAUUAAUAGUUCUAUGGUUGGUUUAUUACAUUUAGUAAAAUUAUGGGCAUGUAAUGUUUGCCAAGAAAAGACACUGCA